GGUAAAAUGGCUGAAUUAUAGGUAAUAAACUGUAAAUUUAUUUAUGAGAAAAUUUCUCUUUUACCA
rnacentral:tRNA from 1 species